CCACAGCCGCCCAGCUGCACCCACAAAGGCCGUGUCUGUGUUAGCGAGUGUGAGAGAUCAGCCUGACCCAGUCACAGAACCACAGAAUGGUUUGGGCUGGAAGGGACCUUGAAGAUCGUCUUAUUCUACCCUCCUGCAAAUCUGUUGGUGCCGAAGACCUGAUGGAUAUCCAUGUGCUUCCACAUGGUUUUCUUUAGCUUUGCUCUAGCCUAGGUCUCUAGCACUCAAGACCCAUUAGAUGCCCUUCUAAAGCCUUGUCUUUUGUCCAGUGCCACCCGCAUAGCAUCCACCCUGUGCACUCUUCCCUGCUGGGUAAAACAAAACGUGGCUGAGCAAAGGAUGACCUGGAGACUCAUCCUGAAAGUGAGCCACGCCAGAACAUGAACGUGGCUGUGCCCAUAGGGUGGGUGACUGUCCCAGAGACUGCACACGGAGUUCUGCAUCUCUCCUGAAGCAUCUUAUCUUGCCAACUGUCUCUGAAUGCCCCCGCAAGCUGGCCACAUGGCUUAUCCACUUGAAUAAGAUCUCUUUCUCCAUCCGGUUGCUGUCAGAGAGACAAGUAGUUUUGUUUUGAUUAGAAACAAAUUAAACACAUUGCAUGUUUAUGUAACUCUUAUUCCUUUUUUCCCCUAAUGUUUGCGAUUCAGCAUGCUUCAACCAUAUCAACAUUUGCUGUCUUUUCAGGGAACAUUGUGCUAAGAUGUAUUUUUACUGUGAAAGCCAAAAUAUUUCAACUCAUAUCUAACCUGUAGAUGAAAAAAUAGAAAGGGAGUUAUUGCACGGUGCUUCUGGACCUGUGAUCUUUCCUAUAACCACAAAAGCUGAGACCUCCUCUGAGCAGAGCAAUAGCAGCAGUCCUGAUCCCCAGGGCCUUGUCUGUUCUGAAAUAGCAGCUGGUUUUAAAAUUGGUUCUGGUAUUCGGAGAUUUAACAGAAUCCUCUUUAGAGAGAGCCUCUGAAUUGGUGGCAGGAAUAUGAGAUGUGGAAUUCCCACUGCCGGCACCACCUGAAGUCAGAUCGGAUCAAACGCCUACCAACACACUGUCAGAAAGCUGCCAUAGCAGGGAGAUGGGAAAAUAUGCGUAUAGAUUUUACCGUCUCUCUUCUCCCUGAUCCAUUGACUAAGCUGCUGUUACAUCUGGGGCCCUACAGACUGGAUGGAGCUAAUCAGCAGAGCAGAAUAAAGAGAGAAAAU
ensembl:lncRNA